AACGAACGCUGGCGGCAGGCCUAACACAUGCAAGUCGAGCGAGGACUUCGGUCCUAGCGGCGGACGGGUGAGUAACGCGUGGGAACGUGCCCUUUGCUUCGGAAUAGCCCUGGGAAACUGGGAGUAAUACCGGAUGAGCCCUUUGGGGGAAAGAUUUAUCGGCGAAGGAUCGGCCCGCGUUGGAUUACGUAGUUGGUGGGGUAAUGGCCUACCAAGCCGACGAUCCAUAGCUGGUUUGAGAGGAUGAUCAGCCACUCUGGGACUGAGACACGGCCCAGACUCCUACGGGAGGCAGCAGUGGGGAAUCUUAGCCAAUGGGGGACACCCUGAUCUAGCCAUGCCGCGUGAGCGAUGAAGGCCUUAGGGUUGUAAAGCUCUUUCAGAUGGGAAGAUAAUGACGGUACCAGCAGAAGAAGCCCCGGCUACCUCCGUG
rnacentral:rRNA from 1 species